rnacentral:rRNA from 1 species
UACGUAGGGUCCGAGCGUUGUCCGGAAUUAUUGGGCGUAAAGGGCUCGUAGGCGGUUUGUCGCGUCGGGAGUGAAAACACGGGGCUUAACCCCGUGCCUGCUUCCGAUACGGGCAGACUAGAGGUAUGCAGGGGAGAACGGAAUUCCUGGUGUAGCGGUGAAAUGCGCAGAUAUCAGGAGGAACACCCGUGGCUAAGGCGGUUCUCUAGUACGGUACUGACGCUGAGACGCGAAAGCGUGGGGAGCGAACAGG